AAUAUAAGGGCGUAUGGUGGAUGCCUUGACUUGAAGAGGCGAUGAAGGACGCGGCUUGGCUGCGAUAAGCUUCGGGUAGGUGCCUAGCAACCUUUGAUCCGGAGAUGUCCGAAUGGGGAAACCUGAUUUUGUGAAAACAAAAUCAGCCCCGUGUUUAUCACGGGGCAGCAAACCCGCUGAAGUAAAACAUUUCAGUAAGCGGAGGAAAAGAGAACAAUGUUUAUUCCCUUAGUAGCGGCGAGCGAAAAGGGAAGAGCCCAAACCUAUGAUUUAUUAGCCAAAGCUCGCUGGAAAGCAGCUGCCAAAGAGAGUAAAAGCCUCGUAGGCGAAAAUAAAUCAUCUCUUCGUUUUUGUCUUGAGUACCCCGACACACGAAUGGGUCGGGAGAAGCAGGCAGAACUAACUGCCAAGGCUAAAUACUCUUCAAGAUCGAUAGUGAACUAGUACCGUGAGGGAAAGGUGAAAAGCAGGCCGGUGAGGCCGUUGAAAUAGAACCUGAAACCAUAUGCCUACAAGGACUCGGAGUCCCGCAGCAAUGCGGGAUGACGGGGUGCCUAUUGAAGAAUGAGCCAACGAGUUGUUUUGCAUUGCGCGUCUAAGUCGUUUCAACGAUGAAGGCAAAGGGAAACCGAGUGUUAAAAGCGCGUUUGCUCCGACGUCACGUCGGAGCACGUAGUGCAAAUCAGACCCGAAGCCAAGUGAGCUUGCCAUGGCCAGGGUGAACUCCGAUGAAAAUCGGAGGGAGGCCCGAACCGGUUGGCCGUGCAAUACCAUCGGAUGAGCUGUGGUAAGAAGUGAAAAGCUAAUCGAACUUGGUAAUAGCUGGUUCUCUCCGAAAUAGCUUUAGGGCUAGCGUUUUGCCGUAUGUUUUUCGGGGUAGAGCACUGGAUGAUUUGAAUAGGGCGCAAGCUCGUCAAAUCAAUCAAACUCCGAAUACGAAAAACUUGUCUUUGACAAUUAUGUCUAAGGCUAAGGCAAGGCAGUUAGACCGCGGGGGCUAAGCUCCGUCGGUCGAAAGGGAAACAGCCCGGAUCUCAAUCUAAGGUCCCUAAAUCCUUCCCCGCAUUACGUCGGGGGAUCCCGGCCUCGCAAGAGCGUCGGGACUGCUAAGUGUUUUUAAGGUGGUGAAAUUUCUUGGACAGCGAGGAGAUUGGCUUAGAAGCAGCCAUUCUUUAAAGAGUGCGUAACAGCUCACUCGUCAAGAGAUUUUGCGCCGAAAAUAAUCGGGACUAAGCAGGGUACCGAAGGUGAGGAUUUGAUAUUUUGAUAUAUCAUUUGGUAGGAGAGCAUUUUCCCGCCGUUGAAGUUAUAUCCGUGAGGAAUAAUGGAGGAGGGAGAAGAGAGAAUGUUGGCACAAGUAACCGCAAGUCCGAUGAAAUAUCGGACCGCCGAAAACCCCAGGUUUCCUUGGCAAUGACAAUCAGCCAAGGGUUAGUCGGGCCUAAGCAGAUGCCGAAAGGCGCAUGCGAUGGACACACGGUUAAUAUUCCGUGACCCCGUUUAAAUUUUCUAAGGAGGGACGAAGAGCUGUAAAUUGAACGUGUUAUCGGAUUCACGUUUGUAUCGUGAGGACGCUUUCCAGGCAAAUCCGGAAAGUGUCGCAAGACGAAUCCAAGCGAUAUGAAAAUUUCUUAUUUCGGUAGGAAAAAUUUAAUUGAGCGCUCUUCCAAGAAAAACUUCUACGAGCUUAAUUUAGAUGGGUCCGUACCGCAAACCGACACAGGUGGGUAGGUCGAGAAGACCAAGGCGAAUAGGUGAUUCCUUCCCAAGGAACUCGGCAAAAAAGCGGGCGUAACUUAGGGAUAAGCCCUUCCCGCAGCAAUGCGGGAUGCAACAAAAGAACCCCUGGCGACUGUUUACUAAAAACACAGCUCCCUGCGAACUCGUAAGAGGAUGUAUAGGGGGUGACGCCUGACCAAUGCGAGAAGGUUAAAGUUUGGUGGUGUAAGUAAUUUAUUAUUUAUGCUGGCCGAACUAAGCCCUCGUCAAUGUCGGCGAUAACUAUAAUCGUCCUAAGGUAGAGAAGCAGUAACAAUUUAUAAGAGCGAAAUUCCUUGUCUGGUAAGUUCAGACGUGCACGAAAGGCGUAACGACUGGGGGACUGUCUCGGGAAGGAGCCUGGUGAAAAUGCGAUGCCGGUGAAGAUGCCGGUUACCUGCAGCUAGACGAAAAGACCCCGGGAGCUUUACUAUAGCUUGAUAUUGGCUUUAAGUUCUGGAUGCGUAGCAUAGGCGGGAGGCUUUGAAGGUUUGAUUUCGGUCGGACCGGAGCCGCCAGUGAAAUACCGCCCUUUCAGAAUUUAAAUUCUAACCCCAACGGCAAAAACGUUGAGGAACAGUAUCUGGCGGGUAGUUUGAGUGGGGCGCUCUCCUUCUAAAAGGUAACGAGGGAGUCUAUUAAGGUCGGCUAUCCCGCAAUGGAAACGCGGGAGAUAGUGUAAUGGCACAAGCCGGCUUGACUGCAAGACGGACAAGUCAAGCAGGUGCGAAAGCAGAGCAUAGUGAACCUGCCGCGGGCAUUAGAUGCUGCGGUAGAUCAUCGGAUAAAAGUUACCCCGGGGAUAACAGGCUGGUACCGCCCAAGCGUCCAUAGCGACGGCGGUGUUCGGCACCUCGAUGUCGGCUCACCCUAUCCUGGGACUGAAGAAGGCCCCAAGGGUUUGGCUGUUCGCCAAUUAAAAGGGUACGCGAGCUGGGUUUAGACCGUCGAACAUGCGUGAGACAGGUUGGACUCCUAUCUGCUGCAGGCGUUGAUUCUUGAGGGGCGUUCUCCCUAGUACGAGAGGACCGGGAGGAACUGACCUCUGGUCUACCGGCUGUGACGCCAGUCGCAGCGCCGGGUAGCUAAGUCGGGACGGGAUAACCGCUGAAAGCAUCUAAGCGGGAAGCCCACCCCAAGAUUAGGAAUCCUGUCUGCCGAAAGGCAGGCUUUAAGAGUCGUGGAAGAUUACCACGUUGAUAGGCUCUAGGUGGAAGCGCAGCAAUGCGUUAAGCCGAGGAGUACUAAUUCU
rnacentral:rRNA from 1 species